rnacentral:rRNA from 1 species
GACGAACGCUGGCGGCGUGCUUAACACAUGCAAGUCGAACGAUGAAGCCCUUUCGGGGGUACACGAGCGGCGAACGGGUGAGUAACACGUGGGUGACCUGCCCUCAGCUCUGGGAUAAGCCCGGGAAACUGGGUCUAAUACUGGAUAUGACUCCAUGACGCAUGUUGUGGGGUGGAAAGCCUUGUGCGGCUGAGGAUGGGCCCGCGGCCUAUCAGCUUGUUGGGGGGUGAUGGCCUACCAAGGCGACGACGGGUAGCCGGCCUGAGAGGGCGACCGGCCACACUGGGACUGAGACACGGCCCAGACUCCUACGGGAGGCAGCAGUGGGGAAUCUUGCGCAAUGGGCGAAAGCCUGACGCAGCGACGCCGCGUGA